GACGAACGCUGGCGGCGUGCUUUAGGCAUGCAAGUCGAACGCGAAAGCCCCUUCGGGGGUGAGUAGAGUGGCGAACGGGUGAGUAACACGUGGGUAACCUGCCCCUCGCAGGGGGAUAACCGGGGGAAACCCCGGCUAAUACCCCGUACGCUUGCUGGGGCGCAUGCUCCGGCAAGGAAAGGUAGCUUCGGCCAUCCGGCGAGGGAGGGGCCCGCGGCCCAUUAGCUAGUUGGUGGGGUAACGGCCCACCAAGGCGACGAUGGGUAGCUGGCCUGAGAGGGUGGUCAGCCACACUGGGACUGAGACACGGCCCAGACUCCUACGGGAGGCAGCAGCCAGGAAUCUUGCGCAAGGGGCGAAAGCCUGACGCAGCAACGCCGCGUGGGCGAUGAAGGCCUUCGGGUCGUAAAGCCCUGUUGUCGGGGACGAAGGGCGAAGGGUUAAUAGCCCCUAGCCUGACGGUACCCGACGAGGAAGCCCCGGCUAACUACGUG
rnacentral:rRNA from 1 species